GACGAACGCUGGCGGCGUGCCUAAUACAUGCAAGUAGAACGCUGAAGGAGGAGCUUGCUUCUCUGGAUGAGUUGCGAACGGGUGAGUAACGCGUAGGUAACCUGCCUGGUAGCGGGGGAUAACUAUUGGAAACGAUAGCUAAUACCGCAUAAGAGUAGAUGUCGCAUGACAUUUGCUUAAAAGGUGCAAUUGCAUCACUACCAGAUGGACCUGCGUUGUAUUAGCUAGUUGGUGAGGUAACGGCUCACCAAGGCAACGAUACAUAGCCGACCUGAGAGGGGGAUCGGCCACACUGGGACUGAGACACGGCCCAGACUCCUACGGGAGGCAGCAGUAGGGAAUCUUCGGCAAUGGACGGAAGUCUGACCGAGCAACGCCGCGUGAGUGAAGAAGGUUUUCGGAUCGUAAAGCUCUGUUGUAAGAGAAGAACGAGUGUGAGAGUGGAAAGUUCACACUGUGACGGUAUCUUACCAGAAGGGGACGGCUAACUACG
rnacentral:rRNA from 1 species